rnacentral:rRNA from 1 species
AGACCCGAAACCCGGUGAUCUAGCCAUGGGCAGGUUGAAGGUUGGGUAACACUAACUGGAGGACCGAACCGACUAAUGUUGAAAAAUUAGCGGAUGACCUGUGGCUGGGGGUGAAAGGCCAAUCAAACCGGGAGAUAGCUGGUUCUCCCCGAAAGCUAUUUAGGUAGCGCCUCGUGAAUUCAUCUCCGGGGGUAGAGCACUGUUUCGGCCAGGGGGCCAUCCCGGCUUACCAACCCGAUGCAAACUGCGAAUACCGGAGAAUGUUAUCACGGGAGACACACGGCGGGUGCUAACGUCCGUCGUGAAGAGGGAAACAACCCAGACCGCCAGCUAAGGUCCCAAAGUCAUGGUUAAGUGGGAAACGAUGUGGGAAGGCCCAGACAGCCAGGAUGUUGGCUUAGAAGCAGCCAUCAUUUAAAGAAAGCGUAAUAGCUCACUGGUCGAGUCGGCCUGCGCGGAAGAUGUAACGGGGCUAAACCAUGCACCGAAGCUGCGGCAGCGACGCUGAUGCGUUGUUGGGUAGGGGAGCGUU